rnacentral:rRNA from 1 species
UACAUGGGGUGCAAACGUUGCUCGGAAUCAUUGGGCGUAAAGCGCGCGUAGGCGGUUAUCUAAGUCGGAUGUGAAAGCCCUCGGCUUAACUGAGGAAGUGCAUCCGAAACUGAAUAGCUAGAGUACGAAAGAGGGUCGCGGAAUUCCCGGUGUAGAGGUGAAAUUCGUAGAUAUCGGGAGGAACACCGGUGGCGAAGGCGGCGACCUGGGUCGAGACUGACGCUGAGGCGCGAAAGCGUGGGGAGCAAACAGG